UGAAAAGUCAAUCAAGCCUAAGAGUUAGGCCUCUUUUUCAUCCCAAUUCCUCCCAUUUCCCACGGUCCGUGGUGAGUAAUUGACUCCAUUUCAUCGCCCCUCACCUUUCACCCUUCUCAAUUCUCACUCCCCAGUCGUUCGAAUUCUCUCCGUCUCUCCGCCUCCACGACUCUUCUGCCUCUCCGCCUCCGCGACUCUUCUGCUUCUCCGCCUCUGAGGCUCUGACCAUCUAAGCUACUUCGUUUCCGCUUCUCCGCCUCUCUAUAGGAUCGUGAGGCCGUGAGUCAGUCUCCGUCUCGUCUCUCACGGUCUCACGUUCUCACCCCUCUGAGUCUCAGCUCUCACUGCUAGACGCCAAGACCAGACAGGCAGAAACCAUCAUCCUCAGCUUAGCCACUCGUCUCCACUCUCCAGCUUCGCCUCUCCGAGACUCCGACUCUCUGUGGGUUAUUAAACCAGUCUGUCUUAUCUGCCUUUCCGGAAACCCUAGAUCUGGGGAGAUCUCCUUCGAUUGAGUGACUCUCUCAGAUUUUCGGCUAUGGAGUAACAACCUAACAGAGUAACAGAAUUGCAGUUGUAGCAUUUUUGUUUUUCAUAGUCCAUAAGUUCCAGAACAGCUACAAGGUAAGUAUCCUCAUCCAUACUACAUUAUUAUAAAUUUUGAAAAUGUGAUUAUAAGAUUGCAUGUGAAUAUAUUUUUUAAAGUCUUGAUAUUUACCAAAAAGAAUUUUAAAUUUUUGAACUGUUAUGAAUUUAUGAAUACUUGUUUACUGGUAGUCUAAAUUCUUAAUGCUUGAGUUGAUGUCUUUUAUGAAUUUCUUGCCCAUUCUUUUUGUAUACUCUGUUAUUCUCCAAAGCAAUGCUACAGAACUCAAGGUUUUUGUGUAGUACACUUUGUUUCACUCACUUCCAGAGUUCUUGACUUCUAAUCAAUAAGUUGAGACUUUACUUAAGAUUUUUUGAGAGGUCCAGAGUCAUAGACUUUCAGUAGUUUUAGUUCAAAUUGAAAAAGGUAAGUAUCCUCUAUCCAUGGGAUUGCAGAAUUAUUUUUUACCAUUGCUGAAUGCUGACCCAUGUAUUUGUGUUUUAUGUCAUAGAUUUGGCUUUCAAAGACUUUGAUCCAAGUACUUGAAGAUAAGUAAAAUGGUUGCAACUUGUUAGAAUAUAUAUUUUUUAAUUUAAUAUAUCUAUUUUUUUUUUCUUUGAGAUUAUGGUUAAGUGUUUUAUACUCCUUAUAAUUCAAUCUUUAAUUGUUCACAGUAUGUUUUUGAGAAUUGUUGUGAAAAUGUUAAUCUGCCAAAAUAUGUUUGCAGGAAAUGCAGCUAAAAGUGGUAAUUGGUUAAUAUUUUUCUAAUUUUCAUUUAACUGUUAACUGUUUUUUUAAAUUUAAUAUUUAAUUGCUAAUAGAUUUUUUAUUUGUGCUUAAGAAUGUUUAAUUGUUAAUUGUGUUAAAAUAGUAUGUUUUUGAUAACUUUGUGAAACUGUGAGGUAAUUGGUCAAUUUUUUUUUUCCUAUUUUCUAUUUAACUGUUAGCAUUUUUUAAAAUUCUCAUUUAUCAUAUAUGUUUGGAGUUUGGCACUUUGCAGAAUGCAAAUCCUUGAAUUAUAAUGUUUCAAGACAUGUUCUUAGUUUCCUACCUAUUUUCAGAGAAGAUGGAGCUAGUGAACAAAGUCUACAAGUUGUGGAAUGUAGAAUGUGCAAUUGUAUUGUAAAUUUGAAGAUUUGGAUGAAAAAAAUUCUUGUGUAGAAUUGUAUUUAAAUUGUAGAUUUGUAAGUCCUGUGGAUUUUGGACUUUUUGUUAGUAUAUUGUAGAUUUGUAACUCUACUUACAAGUUUACAAUUCUUUUAACUA